GAGCGGCGGACGGGUGAGUAAUGCUUGGGAAUAUGCCUUAUGGUGGGGGACAACAGUUGGAAACGACUGCUAAUACCGCAUGAUGUCUACGGACCAAAGUGGGGGACCUUCGGGCCUCACGCCAUAAGAUUAGCCCAAGUGGGAUUAGCUAGUUGGUGAGGUAAUGGCUCACCAAGGCGACGAUCCCUAGCUGGUUUGAGAGGAUGAUCAGCCACACUGGGACUGAGACACGGCCCAGACUCCUACGGGAGGCAGCAGUGGGGAAUAUUGCACAAUGGGCGCAAGCCUGAUGCAGCCAUGCCGCGUGUGUGAAGAAGGCCUUCGGGUUGUAAAGCACUUUCAGUAAGGAGGAAAGGUUAAGUGUUAAUAGCACUUAGCUGUGACGUUACUUACAGAAGAAGCACCGGCUAACUCCGUGCCAGCAGCCGCGGUAAUACGGAGGGUGCGAGCGUUAAUCGGAAUUACUGGGCGUAAAGCGUACGCAGGCGGUUUGUUAAGCGAGAUGUGAAAGCCCCGGGCUCAACCUGGGAACUGCAUUUCGAACUGGCAAACUAGAGUGUGAUAGAGGGUGGUAGAAUUUCAGGUGUAGCGGUGAAAUGCGUAGAGAUCUGAAGGAAUACCGAUGGCGAAGGCAGCCACCUGGGUCAACACUGACGCUCAUGUACGAAAGCGUGGGGCGCACACGGGAUGAGAUCCCGUGGGAGUCCUCGCCGUAAGCGAUGUAUACUAGAAGCUCGGGUCUUGGGACUUGUUUUUCAAAGCUAACGCAUUAAGUAGACCGCGUGGGGAGUACGGCCGCGGGGUUAAAUCUCAAAUGAAUUGGCGGGGGCCCGCACAAGCGGUGGAGCAUGGGGUAUAAUGCGAUGCAGCGCGGAGAACCUUCCCUACCCUUGACAUACAGAGAACUUCCCAGAGGGGGUUGGGCGCCUUCGGGAACUGUGAUACAGGUGCUGCAGGGCUGUCGUCAGCUCGUGUUGUGAGAUGUGGGGUUAAGUCCCGCAACGAGCGCAACCCCUAUCCUUAGUUGCCAGCGAUUGGGUGGGGAACUCUAGGGAGACUGCCGGUGAUAAACCGGAGGAAGGUGGGGAGGAGGUCAAGUCAUAAUGGCCCUUAGGGGUGGGGCUACACACGUGUUAAAAGGGGGCAUACAGAGGGCGGGGAACCUGGGGGGGUAAGGGAAU
rnacentral:rRNA from 1 species